UAACGCGUGAGGGACCUGCCUCAAAGAGGGGGACAACNGUUGGAAACGACUGCUAAUACCGCAUAAGCCCACAGCUCGGCAUCGAGCAGAGGGAAAAGGAGCAAUCCGCUUUGAGAUGGCCUCGCGUCCGAUUAGCUAGUUGGUGAGGUAACGGCCCACCAAGGCAACGAUCGGUAGCCGGACUGAGAGGUUGAACGGCCACAUUGGGACUGAGACACGGCCCAGACUCCUACGGGAGGCAGCAGUGGGGAAUAUUGCACAAUGGGGGAAACCCUGAUGCAGCGACGCCGCGUGGAGGAAGAAGGUCUUCGGAUUGUAAACUCCUGUUGUUGAGGAAGAUAAUGACGGUACUCAACAAGGAAGUGACGGCUAACUACGUGCCAGCAGCCGCGGUAAAACGUAGGUCACAAGCGUUGUCCGGAAUUACUGGGUGUAAAGGGAGCGCAGGCGGGAAGACAAGUUGGAAGUGAAAUCUAUGGGCUCAACCCAUAAACUGCUUUCAAAACUGUUUUUCUUGAGUAGUGCAGAGGUAGGCGGAAUUCCCGGUGUAGCGGUGGAAUGCGUAGAUAUCGGGAGGAACACCAGUGGCGAAGGCGGCCUACUGGGCACCAACUGACGCUGAGGCUCGAAAGUGUGGGUAGCAAACAGGAUUAGAUACCCUGGUAGUCCACACCGUAAACGAUGAUUACUAGGUGU
rnacentral:rRNA from 1 species